ACUCCUACGGGAGGCAGCAGUGGGGAAUAUUGCACAAUGGGCGCAAGCCUGAUGCAGCCAUGCCGCGUGUAUGAAGAAGGCCUUCGGGUUGUAAAGUACUUUCAGCAGUGAGGAAGGUGGAUAUGUUAAUAGCAUAUUCAUUUGACGUUAGCUGCAGAAGAAGCACCGGCUAACUCCGUGCCAGCAGCCGCGGUAAUACGGAGGGUGCGAGCGUUAAUCGGAAUUACUGGGCGUAAAGCGCAUGCAGGUGGUUUGUUAAGUCAGAUGUGAAAGCCCGGGGCUCAACCUCGGAAUUGCAUUUGAAACUGGCAAACUAGAGUACUGUAGAGGGGGGUAGAAUUUCAGGUGUAGCGGUGAAAUGCGUAAGAGAUCUGAAGGAAUACCGGUAGGCGAAGGCGGCCCCCUGGACAGAUACUGACACUCAGAUGCGAAAGCGUGGGAGCAAACAGGAUUAGAUACCCUGGUAGCCUCUGC
rnacentral:rRNA from 1 species